GGAGGUAGUGACAAUAAAUCUCAAUACGAAGCCUUUGGUUUUGUAAUUGAAUUGAGAACAAUGUACAAUCGUUAUCGAUAAACAAUUGGAGGGCAAGUCUGGUGCCAGCAGCCGCGGUAAUUCCAGCUCCAAUAGCGUAUAUUAACGUUGUUGCAGUUAAAAAGCUCGUAGUUGAAGUUUAGAUGGUUUGAAGGGGGUGUUAGUAUUCGUACUAUCUGCUCUCUUUGGAUUAUCGACUUCCAGGUAAGUAUAAUGUACCUUUCGGGGUUCGUUAUACCAGACUGGUCUUUUACUGUGAGAAAAUUAGAGUGUUUAAAGCAGACUUUUAUUUAGUUUGAAUAGAUUAGCAUGGAAUAAUAAGAUUGGCUUUCAUAGUCGAUUUUUUGGUUUGUUUAUGAAAGCAAGAUUAAUAGGGACAGUUGGGGGUAUUCAUAUUCAAUAGCUAGAGGUGAAAUUCUAUGAUUUAUGGAAGAUGAACAAGUGCGAAAGCA
rnacentral:rRNA from 1 species